rfam:Chryseobacterium sp. Leaf201 contig_15, whole genome shotgun sequence.
UUUUAGCCCCGAUUGAAGCGGCAUCCUUUUUCUGAAAUGGCUUGAAAAAAGCGCUGGUGAAAAAGAUACAGCGGAAAGCGGGAUUAAGC